rnacentral:rRNA from 1 species
GGGAGGCAGCAGGUGGGAAUAUUGCACAAUGGGCGCAAGCCUGAUGCAGCAACGCCGCGUGCGGGAUGACGGCCUUCGGGUUGUAAACCUCUUUCAGUAGGGAAGAAGCGAAAGUGACGGUACCUGCAGAAGAAGCACCGGCUAACUACGUGCCAGCAGCCGCGGUAAUACGUAGGUGGCAAGCGUUAUCCGGAAUUAUUGGGCGUAAAGAGCUCGUAGGCGG